ACUCCUACGGGAGGCAGCAGUGGGGAAUAUUGCACAAUGGGCGCAAGCCUGAUGCAGCCAUGCCGCGUGUAUGAAGAAGGCCUUCGGGUUGUAAAGUACUUUCAGCGGGGAGGAAGGGAGUAAAGUUAAUACCUUUGCUCAUUGACGUUAUCCGCAGAAGAAGCACCGGCUAACUCCGUGCCAGCAGCCGCGGUAAU
rnacentral:rRNA from 1 species